UACGAAGGGGCGAGCGUUGUUCGGAUUUACUGGGCGUAAAGGGCGCGUAGGCGGCGCGAGAAGUCGAGUGUGAAAGCCCCGGGCUCAACCUGGGAAUUGCGCUCGAUACUCUAGUGCUUGAGUUCGGGAGAGGAGCGUGGAAUUCCCAGUGUAGAGGUGAAAUUCGUAGAUAAUUGGGAAGAACACCGGUGGCGAAGGCGGCGCUCGUGGACCGAGACUGACGCUGAGGCGCGAAAGCGUGGGAGCAACAG
rnacentral:rRNA from 1 species